UACGGAGGGUGCAAGCGUUUAUCCGGAUUCACUGGGUUUAAAAGGGUGCGUAGGCGGGUAAGUAAGUCCGUGGUGAAAUCUCUGAGCUUAACUCAGAAACUGCCGUGGAUACUAUUUGCCUUGAAUAUUGUGGAGGUGAGCGGAAUAUGUCAUGUAGCGGUGAAAUGCUUAGAUAUGACAUAGAACACCAAUUGCGAAGGCAGCUCACUACACAAUCAUUGACGCUGAGGCACGAAAGCGUGGGGAUCAAACAGG
rnacentral:rRNA from 1 species